UACACACCGCCCGUCACACCAGUGGGAGGUUCGGGUUCGCAACCACGGUAAGUACGACCUAGUACGUAACCGUUCGGGAGACGGUUACCACGGUGUGAUUCAUGACUGGGGUG
rnacentral:rRNA from 1 species